CUGAAUAAGAGUUUAGCACAUAUACGCAAGAUCAUGCAUUUUUAAGGCCAAAAGUGUUUACUUGAAAAAUGAAAACUAAAUUUACAGCAGACAGCUCUAUCAGUUCUAUACAUUGCAAUGUACUUCUUAUAUAUAGAGACCCAAUCAGGCCUUCCUUUAAAUGCUUAAUGAUGCUGUAGUGUCAAUAAUGUAUAAGAAAACCAGAGCACAGUCAACUCUUGCCAAAUGUUUAAGUCAUUCUUCGUGAUGAAAUUGCAGUGGUUAUUAUUAAUCUAUUACUGAUUCAUUUCGGACAAUUCAUCAAGUAAAGUGCAUUGUGUUUUUAUGUGUGUUUACAAUGGUCUUUAACCUACAGCAAAUGUGGCUUGACUAAAAUCGAGUAAUAGCUUGUGCCUAUAUAGAGUAAAUCUAUUUUGCCGCAUUUUCGUAUAUUAUUUUCACGUUACCAUGGCAACCACUAUUGUUUUUAAUCAUCAAAUACUUCAUGUAAAUUUAUAUAUAUAAUUAUUUAUAUAUAUAAUUUAUAUAUAAUACUUCAUCAUCUGUUAAAAAAGCUGAAUGCAUGUUCUUCUGGUAUAAAUAUAUUUUCUUCCUAAUUCGUUCACCCUUCAGAGCGAAAUAUAUAUUCCCUUAUUCUUUUUUUCUGUUUUUUUUUUGUCUUCGUCAAUUUAGUAUAGUCGGAACUAAGAUGAUACUCGUCAACAUACUUUCAUCGGCCUUUGAUAAUUUUCAUUCCCUCUGUGCGCAGAAUCUUGUUUUUCCAGUAAAAGAUCAAGCAGUUAAAUGUACCAUUCAUCGACACUAUGGUUCUACUCCAAAGUGCUGCAAGUUUUAGAUUACUUGUUUUCUCUUUCGAGUUCAGUCUUAGACCGAUGAAGACGAACACUGGAAUAGACAGCACGACAAAACAAGCGACUGCCAGCAAGCAACUCGAAAUAUUUUUCAAAGAAAACGUCUUUUUUCUAUCGGGUGGUAUUCCGUUGUUUCUACGACUUUUCCUGGAAAUUUUGAACAGUUUGUAGUUGAUGAACAACAUUGGUAGAAAGAGAAUACUGAAACAAAUUAGUAAAAAAACUGUGUACGGAAAGAGGAGGUCGUUUAAUACAGAUAUCAGUGCCAAAGUUACUUCGAGAAGAAUUAGUAUUGCAAGAAGAGUCAAAAGUCUUCUCUUCGUCACCGAUGUUCGAUGAAAGAAAGGAUAAUAUGUCGCCAAAUAUCGAUCAAAAUUCAUGACCAGAAGAGCGUAUAAAGAAAAUCCAAGGAAAAUAGUGGCGAACUUCGACGAAAUAUCCACCAAUCUAGGGUACGCACCAUGGAACUUCUCAGUCAACCAUAACAUCGCCAGAAGGGCCAACAAUGGAUGACUAGUUGAAACCGCUAGCAAAUUGCAACAGGACAAAACCAUUAUCAUGAAAUAACAUAAUUUUUUUCGAAGUUGCGCAGAUCUCCAGAAACUAAGAAUGACCAAGGAAUUUAAACAUAUUCCUGAGAAAAAGAACAAUACAUUCACAGCGAAUAGGAAU